UUUGCCCUUUCAAGAAAAGGUUCCAAAACCCUAGGUCAGUGGUUCUCAACCUUCGCAGUGCUGCAGUCCUUUAGUACAGUUCUUCAUGUUGCGAUGACCCCCCAACCAUAAAGUUAUUUUUGUUGCUACUUCGUAACUGUAAUUUUCCGGCGUGGUGGCGCAGGUCUUUAAUCCAAGCACUCGGGGAGGCAGAGGCAGGCGGAUCUCUGUGAGUUCAAGCCAGCCUGGUCUACAAGACAAGUCCAGGACAGCUCUCAUGAAUGAACUUCAUAAACCAUGCUAGAUCAAAGAACCCAGGCACAGGAGCGUGCAAAGCAAUCUUCCAAUUAUGUCAAUAUCGGAAGCGAACAGUCUUAAUUACCGGGCAAGGAAGAAACCAGGAUCACAAAGGCAGUGUUCCCACAGCAAGCCUUAACAAUGGCUUUUUCAGGUGUGGGAACGUGAGGCUGCUUUGCAGCAGCAGACUACAAUUUGCCUCGUGUCCCAGCAGAGUCGUGGUUUCGCCAGCUGAAGAUAGUUUCUAUGAUUGUGUGGCAUUUGGAAUUCUGGGAACUUUUCAGAGGACAGGGGUGAAACCUGGGGAUAAAGACUGGGAAAAUGAAGAACCCACAAAGUAGCAAAGACCAGCAACAGCUGGGUCCAAGUUCAACCCCAGUACCACAUAUGCAAAAAGUAUUUUAGCUGGCAAGGUGAUGACUGUACUCCCACAACAUGGGCGGCUGAGGUAAGAAGAUCUGGAGUUCAAAGUUAUCUUUAGCUUUAGAGGCCAUCCUGAGCUAUGUAAAACUCUGUCUCCAAAUAAAUGAAGAAAA